UACGUAGGGUGCAAGCGUUAAUCGGAAUUACUGGGCGUAAAGCGUGCGUAGGCGGUUCGUUAAGUCUGUUGUGAAAGCCCCGGGCUCAACCUGGGAAUGGCAAUGGAUACUGGCGAGCUAGAGUGUGUCAGAGGAUGGUGGAAUUCCCGGUGUAGCGGUGAAAUGCGUAGAGAUCGGGAGGAACAUCAGUGGCGAAGGCGGCCAUCUGGGACAACACUGACGCUGAGACGCGAAAGCGUGGGGAGCGAACAGG
rnacentral:rRNA from 1 species